rnacentral:lncRNA from 1 species
UUUUUUUUUUUUUUUUUUUCCGAGACAGAGUCUCGCUCUGUCACCCAGGCUGGAGUGCAGUGGCACAAUUGGAGGUCAGCUUUCAUGCAAUGCUUAUCGAAUGCAUUUCAGGGGAGUCCCGGCUUGGCUAACUUGUUCCCAGCCUUCAGUUUGUUUGUUUGCUUUUUUGAGACAGGGUCUCACUGUUGUCCAGGCUGGAAGUGCAGUGGUGUGAUCUUGGCUCAUUGCAGUCUUUGCCUCCAAAUCCAGAAUCAAGUGAUUCUCCUGCCUCAGCCUCCUGAGUAGCUGGGACUCCAGGCGCCUGCCACCAUGCCUGGCCAAAUUUUAUAGAGAUGGGGUUUCACCACGUUGGCCAGGCUGGUCUCGAACUCCUGGCCUCAAGCGAUCCGCCCGUCUCAGCCUCCCAAAGUGCUGGGAUUACAGGUGCAAGGCACUGUGCCCGGCCCCAAACUGUAGUUUCUUAAGGUGUUGUAUUUUUAGUUCCCAAUCCACUUCAGAUUCCAAAUAUUUGUGGUUCCCAGGGAGCGGGCUGUCAUGCUUUGUGGCUUGGCAGCCCGGAGGCAGCAUUCUCACCUGUCAGCAUUCUAGAAGUAAAUGAAAGACUGAGGAGUAGGCUCCACGGUGGCUGAGUUUGGGCUAAAGGAAGUGUCGUUUAUUCUGUGCCAUGGGAACAAGACCAGCAAGCCAUGCCACGCAUCUGAGCCCACGGGGCCACAGAAGCCUCGAGGCUCUGCAGGGGGGCUGCCCACCGGGUUCAUGUCUCCCCAGCCACGGGACUCCACCCUCAGCUUACUCCUGAGAGUCCUGCCCCAUUAAGUGAAGAAAACACGAGCAUUUCACAAGAGUUCAUCACGUUCCCCAAUUAACAACCACAAAAUCUGUUGGGACUACAUGCAUAUAGUAUGGGUAAAACCGAAAAAAACCAAAAACUUAAAAGUGAGAAAUGCAUAAAAAACAAGACACAAAGACACUGAAUCAUCUAGAUUUACUUUCUUUUUCUUUCUUUUUUUUUUUUUUUUUUUGAGACGGAGUCGAUCUUGUCACCCAGGCUGGAGUGCAGUGGUGCAAUCUCAGCUCUCUGCAACUUCCACCUCCCGGAUUCAGGCAAUUCUCCUGCCUCAGCCUCCUGAGUAGCUGAGAUUAUAGGCGGCCACCACCAUGCCCACCUACUUUUUUUUUUUUUUU